CACCACAAAUCUAAUAUACCCCAAUACUCAUUUUGAGUAUCGGGUAUAAAAACGCCCAUACCCUGGUUAACAACAAAUGAGUCUGCAAAUACCAGCAACAUUGACGUCACAACCUGCGACUAUUGAAGACUUUUGUUGAAACCUUGUUUUUGUCAAAACAAAAAACAUGCAAGUACUUAAAAGUAGUUAAUCCUGCUUAAAAUUGAUUCAGCAAUCAUAUAAAAUUAUCUGGGCAAAACUGAGAGAUCUAUAUAGCUGGGAAUAUUCGACGGAAGAAAGAAUAACCAGGAAUUAGUUGUCAUAACCGUCUGUCUGCUGCUAAACGAUGGAUCUGGCAGACCAAAUCGAUGACUAUAUCUGUUCGUUCGAGGGACUUGGUGACUUAACAAUGGACUCCCUAGCCAUCUUCAUCUUUCUGUGGGCCGUGCUGGCCCUCUUCUCCGUCUGGCUGUGCAAGCUGCUCUACCGCAAGUAUCUCAACAAGGAGAAGACGCCCAGUGCCGCCAACAGUCGCCAGAGCAGUGUGGCCCCCCGGGCGGCCGCCCUGGCCCUCGGCGGCUCCUCCAAGCCGGAGAAGCUACUCUCCGAGCCCAGGGACAUGCUGGCCACCAAGAGCAAAGUCGAGGAUCUCUCCAAGCCUCUGACUGGCGCCUCGGCUGGCCGUGGUCGCUCUUCGGCCUCGCCCCUAAGCGGUGGUGCCGCUGGCGCCGCCGGACCGCGUCGCCGCGUGGUACGCCAAAGCUCCACAGGCCCGGAGAAUCGCAAGAAGCGCUAUGUUCCACCGCCCUCCAAUGUGGUGGGACCCGAAACGAGCUCUGUCACGUGGACCAGCCAAGUGUUCCGCUGGCUGUACUGCGAUCUAGUCAUUGUCAACGAGCUGCUCAUGUCCUGCGUGAUAGCCAUCAACGACUCGCUCCGCAAGUCUGUGGAGGAGCAUGGAGUGGCCGUGGAAGUGGUCCGAGUGCUGCCCGAUAGCCCUGCUCCGGGCCUGAACAACAUCUUCUGCAACUGCGAUGCGAACAAUCCUGCGGACAUGCUCAUCACUUUCGACUGCGACGCCAUGCCGGUGCUGCAGGUGAAGACCUUCCGCCAGAAGUCGGGCAAGGUGGAGACCUCCCACUACAAGGUGACCGUGUCGCGAUUCCGCGCCCGCAUGGCCAUCCCCAUGAACUACAACAGUCUCAAGGGCGAGAUGCGUGUCGAGGGCUAUCCUGAUGUGCUCAUUGCGAUGAACAGUGUGAGGGCCAUCAAGGCCAUGGACCAGGACGAACUGCAGCUCCAGACGGUCAUCAGCGACAUCCUGACGACGGCCCUGCGCGACACCGUCUACCCCGUUGACUUCUCCAUCUACUCCACCUGCCCGCGGGCCGAGGUGAAGCCCCUGGAUCUGCCCGUAAUCUAUCCCGUUCACUAUGACUCCCUGGCGCACAACAUGGAGCACCAUCUGGGAGGCGUGGGCCUGCGAGACUCGCAGCACAUGGUGUCCGGCAGGCGGCUGCUGGUGAAGAUCGUCAAGGGCGAGGGCCUGAGGGACGCCCACGACCCCUAUGUGGUCAUCGAGAUGGACGAGCUGGCCCAGAAAAACCAGACGGGCACCCAGCGCGGCAGCAGACCCUACUGGGAUGAGCACUUCCUCUUUGAACUCUCCCCGCAGUCUGCAGAGAUACUCUUCGAGGUGUACGACCAUCCAGUGAUCGCCUCGGAUCCGCCCAAGUUGCUCGGUCUCGGCCUGGUCGGCAUCGACGAGCUGGCCGUGGGUCCAGCGUCCACCCAGCUGCUGCAGCUCCAGCCACGCCCUUACGAAACCCAGCCCGUGGCCGGGGCCAUCACCGUGGACUUCGUGUUCAUCGAGGGAGCCGAGAUCCCGGCGGGCGCCCGUCCACAACGCCUCAAGGAGGCCCUGCGCCUCAGCACGCCGGCCAUCAAUGAACACAUCCGCAACGGAGCGGACCUGGCCGACGCCGCGGUCCGCGCUCUGCAGGACGGCGCCCUCUCCGCCACCGGAAACGGGGGCCAGCCCAGCAAGAGCACCCUCAUCAUCCACAGCGUCCAGGGGAACUCGGGCAAUCCGAAUGCAUUUAAGGUCGAGUUGAACAAGGAUGGCCGCAUCGAGGUCUUUGAAUCGCCCACAGAGCUGAACCAGGCCGUGGCCCAGGCCUUCGAGCGGGCCGCCAGCGAGGCAGCGGCCGCCAAGGCCGAGCAGCUCCAGCUGGAGCUCGAGCUGGACCCCGGCACGGAGGUCCAGCCGCUGGCCAGCGGCGGCGGUGGCGGCGAGCCGCACAACGAAACAGGUAACGGUAGUGGUACCGCCAACGAGGACAGUACCGCGGAGUUCGGGCAGCCCAACGCUGCCUCCUCGCCCAACGGCAGCGGCUACCACAACAACUACAACCUCAAUGGGAGCAGUUGGCUAGCCGGAAACGGCAGUGGCAAUGGCAACGGCAACGGCAACUCCAACAUCAACGGCGGGGGCUACAGCAUGAACAGCCUGCCGCAGAACGGGGCCCAUCUGGGGCAUCUGCAGGCGGGUGAGGGCAUGGACGUGCUGGACGACCGCGGGCGCAGCAAAAAACGUAAUUUCUUUGGCACCCUGAAGAAGCGGCUCAGCCGCUCCAAGACACGCACCCUCUCGGCAGAUCAGCCCAAUAGCAAUCACAAAUCACUAUCAGCCACAAACUCGAACUACGCCAAUACUACAACAACAUCGACAGGACUACCCCGAACCGCCACAGGAACCCUCAAUGGUGAUUCUUCCCGUUCAUUAUCUGUCGAUCGUGCCACUCUGUCCAAAAGCAAUUCACUUGGACCCCGCAUGGGCAUUGGCUCCGCCAUCACCGACCAUUCACGACGCUCUUCAAUUUCAGAAUCCUCGGCCAUCUCAGGUUUCUCCUCGGCCAGCAAUAAGACCUACGUACACGAGGCCUCCACCUUGGUCCUGGAGACCAUCGAGAACGGCUUGAAGCGCCACUUUAUUGUGCCUUUGGCCAUUGCCCAGAGACUGCGCUGGCGCCGCAAGGGCACCAAGCUGCACAUCUGCAACGAUCACACCUUCAUAUCCAAGCAUUUGAGCGGAAGCGGCUUGCAGUGCUCGAUCUGCAUGAAGUCCAUACCUCGGAGGCCGGGCAAGCAGGGAUACGAGUGCCGCGACUGCCAGCUGAUCUGUCACAAGCAGUGUCACAUACGGGCGCCCCAGGCCUGUCCCAAUCCCACGGUGCUCUCCAUGGAACUAAACUCCUAUCCGGAUGGCCAGUGAGCAGUAGGCUUAAGUGCAGCAAAAUCAACUUAAAACUUAACAAUAUUCAAACUAGUUUGAGGGCGGCAGCGGCCGACAUUUAAGAAAACAAAAAAAUGCUCCUUCUUCUGAAAACUCCUCCAUCCGUCCUUCGAAACAGCCUCAGUUCUAGAUUCGUUCGGCUUUAGGAGAGAGUUCGAGAGUUAUCCACUCCUUAGGCGGAACCAAACUUAACUCGGCUGCGGCGGAUCGGAGUAUACGGAAACUGUAAAGAUGUCCCCAAUCCAUCGUCCAUCCCAGCUCCAACGCCGGGGACACUUAAUCGAAUUACUAUGCUUAGAAGGAGGAACACCGGGACACUUGGCUAUCGAAAUCUUUGAUACAUUAUGUUAUUUAUUUAUACACACACACACACACACCCACGUGCAAUAAGUUCUUUGGUUUCGUUUUUAACCUUUCUCUGGCCCCUUCGAUAUUUUGUAUUUUCUACAAACACGAAUAAUAAUUGUACAAAAUAAGAGCGAACUAAGAAUUUUUCAAUUAAAAUUACUGGUAAAAGUA